rnacentral:rRNA from 1 species
AUCUCUGUAGAGUCUGCAUAUCAAUAAGCGGAGGAAAAGAAACUAACAAGGAUUCCCUUAGUAACGGCGAGUGAAGCGGGAAGAGCUCAAAUUUGAAAUCUUCAAGGUUCUACCUUGACGAAUUGUGGUUUAUAGAAGUGUUUUCUGUUAGUGGAGUGGCAAAAGUUCUUUGGAAUAGGACAUCAUAGAGGGUGAGAAUCCCGUAUUUGGUCAUUCCUCCUAGCGUUGUGAUACACUUUCAACGAGUCGGAUUGUUUGGGAAUGCAGUCCAAAAUGGGUGGUAAAUUUCAUCUAAAGCUAAAUAUUGGCGAGAGACCGAUAGCGAACAAGUACCGUGAGGGAAAGAUGAAAAGAACUUUGAAAAGAGAGUUAAACAGUACGUGAAAUUGUCAAAAGGGAAGCGUUUGACACCAGUGUUGUUUUUCCGAAAAUCAAUUACGAAUGUUUUGUUUUUAAGGAGUUAUGACUUCAUCGGCUUGCUUCUUUCUUUACGAAACUUUCUUAAUGCACUUUUCGGUUAACAAGUCAACAUCAAUUUCUUUUGUUGUAAAAGGGUAUGAGGAAGGUGGCUUUCUUUUCGGAGAAAGUGUUUAUAGCCUUGUACCUCUGCAAUCGGAGAGAUUGAGGUCUGCAGCGUAGAUCCUUCGGGGUUAGAUACAUUUGUGCUAAGUUAUAGCUUUUCAUAGACAACUUGUUGACUAUGUUUAGUCAUGUAGCUUACUCGUAGUGCUAUUUUACCUACGCUUAGGAUGUUGAGCGCAUGUCUCUCUCU